UGGGGAAUAUUGCACAAUGGAGGGAACUCUGAUGCAGCGACGCCGCGUGAGUGAUGAAGGAAUUCGUUUCGUAAAACUCUGUUCUAUGGGAAGCAAAGGACUGUACCAUAGGAGAAAGCUCCGGCUAAAUACGUGCCAGCAGCCGCGGUAAUACGUAUGGAGCGAGCGUUGUCCGGAAUUAUUGGGCGUAAAGGGUGCGCAGGCGGCUUUACAAGUUGGAUGUGAAAUAUUGUGGCUCAACCACAAACGUGCAUCCAAAACUGCAAAGCUUGAGUUAAGGAGGGGUAAGUGGAAUUCCGGGUGUAGCGGUGGAAUGCGUAGAUAUCGGGAGAAAUACCGGUGGCGAAGGCGACUUACUGGACUUAAACAGACGCUCAGGCACGAAAGCGUGGGGAGCAAACAGG
rnacentral:rRNA from 1 species